UACGUAGGGUGCGAGCGUUAAUCGGAAUUACUGGGCGUAAAGCGUGCGCAGGCGGUUCGUUGUGUCGGCGGUGAAAUCCCGGGCUCAACCCGGGAACUGCGUCCGAUACUGGAAGGCUUGAAUCCGGGAGAGGGAUGUGGAAUUCCAGGUGUAGCGGUGAAAUGCGUAGAUAUCUGGAGGAACACCGGUGGCGAAGGCGACAUCCUGGACCGGUAUUGACGCUGAGGCGCGAAAGCCAGGGAGCAAACGG
rnacentral:rRNA from 1 species